CCAAAAUGAAGUUCAAUCCCUUUGUGACUUCUGACCGAAGCAAGAACCGCAAAAGGCAUUUCAAUGCACUUUCCCACAUUCGCAGGAAGAUUAUGUCUUCCCUCUUUCCAAAGAGCUGAGACAGAAGUACAAUGUUCGAUCCAUGCCCAUCCGAAAGGAUGAUGAAGUUCAGGUUGUCCGGGGGCAUUAUAAAGGUCAGCAGAUUGGCAAAGUAGUCCAGGUUUACAGGAAGAAAUACGUCAUCCACAAUGAGCAGGUGCAGCGGGAAAAGGCUAAGGGCACAACUGUCCAUGUGGGCAUUCACCCCAGCAAGGUGAUCCUUGAACGAAAAGCCAAAUCUCGCCAAGUAGGAAAGGAAAAGUGCAAGUACAAGGAAGAAACAAUUGAGAAGAUGCAGGAAUAAAAUAAUCUUAUAUGCAACUUUCAUUAAACACU